GGCAACUCCAAGAUUGAGCGAAGAUAAAGUGAAGCAAUGCGUAGAUCCCAAACUCAACAAUGACUACCCACCAAAGGCUAUUGCCAAGUUAGCAGCAGUUGCAGCGCUGUGCGUUCAAUAUGAGGCAGAUUUUCGACCAAACAUGACUAUUGUGGUGAAAGCUUUACAACCACUUAUAACUCGAAACCGGCAGGGCUAGAGUCUCAAGCAUAAACCCAGAUAUUUCUUGCCGAGGAAAAUCAAGUCUCCACGACUGUUUAGAACUGGAACUGUACCUCUUUCUCCCUCAAUUUUCCAUAACCAUGCCCCAUAAUUGGACACAAUACUUCCUCCAUGUGAGAAGCAAUACUGUACUGUCUGGUAACUUUUUUGUAAUCUUCCUUUUUGUCCUUUUCGAGCAGAUCAACGAAGGAGAUGGUCAACUUUGCGCU